UGAGGAGCAAGCCGGUAAGCGGCACUCCAUCAUGGCCUCGGCUCCCGUCUCCAGGUUCCUGCCCUGUUUGAGCUCCUGUCCUGACCACCUUCGAUGAUGAACAGUAUGACAGAAUACUAGUUUGAUCAGAGCAGGACACGGGGAGGACCGUCUAAAGUUACAACCCCUGGCUUAACUACUGUACCGCCAUCCACCUGAUGUACCAAGCAAGAAACCUGCUCUCCCUCCUCCCUCACUUCUCACCUCUGACCUAGUCCCAGGACUUGCCAACUCCACAUCUGGAAUACUUUCACACCCCCCAAUCUGAUGUCUUCUCCUGCCUGGCCAGAAGAGGAUAAAAUCCUCUUGCCCGUAUUCUGCACCUGUUCAGUCACCAGUGUUUCCUGUGUACUGGCCAGAGUCAACCUCUAUCCUUCUUUAAAGCCUGUAUUGGCUCUCAGGACAGGGCCAGAGGGUCGUAAUGCGGCACUCGGGGUCCUCCAUCAUGGAGCCCAUGACCCUCAUCUCUCUCUUUUCUUACUCUCUCUUCUCUGCAGGCACUGCACUGCUAUUGGAAGCGUGUGCUGAGUCUCCUAAAAUAAAGGCUCCUCCUCCUC